AAAUUAGAACAUCAUCAAGAACUCCCAGUCAUGUUCAAUAGUACAUUUCACAUUCAAAACUUUCCAACUUGGAGCAGACAUAAAGAGACAUAACGACUUCCUUCAGGCCUCCAUAGCACAAGGUCUUAAGAAACAAAGCCAGUUAUGCAUAUAGCCAGGAUGAGUGCUGAAAGAAUUGGCCCAUAAAAGGAAAAGAACUUCUAUUAUAUUUGGAGUUGGCAUCUAAGCCAUUUCUCGAUCACAAGUCAAUAUACAUUGAAAUCCAUACUGAUAUUGUUGUCAGAAAGGAUGAAGGUGAUCCCCCGAGAACCAAUUACCAUUAGCAAAAAAGACUAAAAAAAAAAAAAACUAAAAGCCACAUUUUCCUCAAUAGAAAUAGCAAACCGUUAUAACAAAACAAGAUUUCUGAAUCUCCCACAUCAGUGAUAUUUGGUGAUAAGGAUUCCACUGGGAGCCCAAUUUGUUUCAAAUAGUCAUUAUUGCUAAUAGAUUCUUCACACAGAGAUCCAAAUGAAGUCAACAAAUCAGUUUGAUAGUUAAAUGUCCACCAAUAAACCAUAAAAUCUAAACAUAUUUGCCUUCAAUAUACAAAGAAAUGGAACACAGAUUAUAAUCACAAGUCAUAUUCAAUGUGUAUGUAGUCAUCAUUAAAAAGAUCAUAACUAAGCUAAUUAGGUGAUGUUAGCAGUAGCAUGACACAGUUUAGUAACUGUGGCAAUGGAAGUGGGCAGUAUUUUUUGGGUAGUUCCAAGCAAAGCUUGUGAUUUUUAGACUCAAUCCUAACUUCAGCCCCUGCAAAAAUUGUACGGCAGAUGUUAACAACAAAGAAAGGAUAGCACACUUUUCUAAAUAACUAAGAAAGCUUAAACUAUGGAAAACAUGGGUUUCACAGAAAUUGAUAAAUCAUCAAAACUGCAUGCAUGCAUGCAUGUUAUGGAAAGGCAUCCACAUAGGAAAGUAAUUCAGUAUGCAUACAACAGGCAUACCCUUAAGAGAAAGCUAUUGCAAGCUAAUCUCACCCAAUUUUAGAAUCUGGCAACUGGGAGCAUUUUUUGUGUUGUGUAGGACCCUCACGUUUACAUCAUUUGAUAGAUUGAGAUGUAUUGAAGCUUAUUCUGGUUUUAUUUUCAGUUAUCAAAUUUGCAUGCCAUGGCAGAAUGCAAUUUCCAAUUAAAUAGGGAUAAGUCUUAGACAUUCCAAGUGUCUUGCUUUUAGUUUUCAUUGCAGUCCAAAUUUAAUCUUCCAGUUCUCAUCAUGAAUUUACUUUUAUAGGAGUACUAUCCCUAUUGGGUGAGUUGCCUAAUCUCUAUGAAUAUCCGUUUAAUCCAAGUAUUUUGGGAGGCUUAUGAUAAUAGAAUUAUGAGUAAUUGGCUUCAGUUUUAAGGCACAUAUAUCUAGUGAAUGCAACAAAAUGAGAGUUACUAUCACAAUUAAGCACCCUCAAGAAAACAGAAACUAUUUCACACUACCUCGGAUACGAUGCAGACACAUAUAGUAAAUGCAACAAAAUGAAUAACGAAUGUUCUCUGUAGUAGUUGCAUGUAUAUUGAACCUGAGAGAUUCAGGUUCAACUUCCCCCUCCAGCCCUCGCCCUACGUAUGUAAUCGAAAAAGGAAUGCUCACUGUUGCUCAGUUAGCAGGAGCUAAUAUCUAAGCAAGUGUAAAUUCUCAUACACAAGCAUAUAUAUGUAUCAGAUCCAGUGAUUACACAAUCAUGUUAUCCUUUCGUGGACAUGACCACCCACCAACACUAACACAAUCCCAACUGACAAAAUCAUUUCCACCAAUAUCGCUCUCCCUCCGAAUCCGCCAAAAAAAUCCACAUCUCAAAUUCACUUAUCCGAUCACAAACCAUUGGCCCAGUUCAAACGGAACUUUUUUCCACUAUUUCAAAAUCAAUCUCUAUCAAGCACUUAACUUCCAUUAUUAAAGAUCCCACUUUUUCCCAUCAAACAAACACAUACCCAGGAGAUACAAUCAGAUAGAAAUGUCAACAUGAACAACAGCGAUGAUAAGGAGAAACACAAAAAAGAA
rnacentral:misc_RNA from 1 species